GACGAACGCUGGCGGCGUGCUUAACACAUGCAAGUCGAGGGCAUUGUGCCCGCAAGGGUGCAGUGACCGGCGAACGGGUGCGUAACACGUGAGCGACCUACCCGCUUGAGGGGGAUAGCCGGCCCAACGGCCGGGUAAUACCGCAUACGCUCGUUUGGGGGCAUCCCUGGGCGAGGAAAACUCAGGUGCAGGCGGAGGGGCUCGCGGCCUAUCAGCUAGUUGGCGGGGUAACGGCCCACCAAGGCAUUGACGGGUAGCUGGUCUGAGAGGAUGGCCAGCCACAUUGGGACUGCGAGACGGCCCAGACUCCUACGGGAGGCAGCAGUGGGGAAUCUUGCGCAAUGGCCGCAAGGCUGACGCAGCGACGCCGCGUGCGGGAGGACGCCUC
rnacentral:rRNA from 1 species